rnacentral:rRNA from 1 species
GACGAACGCUGGCGGCGUGCUUAACACAUGCAAGUCGAACGCUGAAGCUCAGCUUUUGUUGGGUGGAUGAGUGGCGAACGGGUGAGUAACACGUGAGUAACCUGCCCCCUUCUUUGGGAUAACGCCCGGAAACGGGUGCUAAUACUGGAUAUUCACUGGUCUUCGCAUGGGGGUUGGUGGAAAGGGUUUUUCUGGUGGGGGAUGGGCUCGCGGCCUAUCAGCUUGUUGGUGGGGUGAUGGCCUACCAAGGCUUUGACGGGUAGCCGGCCUGAGAGGGUGACCGGUCACAUUGGGACUGAGAUACGGCCCAGACUACUACGGGAGGCAGCAGUGGGGAAUAUUGCACAAUGGGCGCAAGCGUGAUGCAGCGACGCCGCGUGAGGGAUGGAGGCCUUCGGGUUGUGAACCUCUUUCGCUAAUGGUCAAGCCGCAACAAUGGUUGUGGUGAGGGUAGUGGGUAAAGAAGCGCCGGCUAACUACGUG